rnacentral:rRNA from 1 species
CGUAGGAUGCAAGCGUUGUUCGGAAUUACUGGGCGUAAAGAGUACGUAGGCGGUAUGGUAAGUCUGAUAUUAAAGACCGGAGCUCAACUCCGGGACUGUAUCGGAAACUGCCAAACUAGAGGACAAUAGAGGAAGUGGGAAUUCUCAGUGUAGCGGUGAAAUGCGUAGAUAUUGGGAAGAACACCAGUGGCGAAAGCGCACUUCUGGGUUGUUACUGACGCUGAGGUACGAAAGCGUGGGGAGCAAACGGGAUUAGAUACCCCGGUAGUCCACGCUGUAAACGAUGGAUACUAGGUGUAGCCGGUCUCGACCCCGGCUGUGCCGCAGCUAACGCAUUAAGUAUCCCGCCUGGGGAGUAUGGCCGCAAGGUUG